GACGAACGCUGGCGGCGUGCUUAACACAUGCAAGUCGAACGGAAAGGCCCUGCUUUUGCGGGGUGCUCGAGUGGCGAACGGGUGAGUAACACGUGAGUAACCUGCCCUUGACUUUGGGAUAACUUCAGGAAACUGGGGCUAAUACCGGAUAGGAGCUCCUGCUGCAUGGUGGGGGUUGGAAAGUUUCGGCGGUUGGGGAUGGACUCGCGGCUUAUCAGCUUGUUGGUGGGGUAGUGGCUUACCAAGGCUUUGACGGGUAGCCGGCCUGAGAGGGUGACCGGCCACAUUGGGACUGAGGUACGGCGCAGACUCCUACGGGAGGCAGCAGGGGGGAAUAUUGCACAAUGGGCGGAAGCCUGAUGCAGCAACGCCGCGUGCGGGAUGACGGCCUUCGGGUUGUAAACCGCUUUCGCCUGUGACGAAGCGUGAGUGACGGUAAUGGGUAAAGAAGCACCGGCUAACUACGUG
rnacentral:rRNA from 1 species